UACGUAGGGGGCUAGCGUUGUCCGGAAUCAUUGGGCGUAAAGAGCGCGUAGGCGGCCAGACAAGUCCGGUGUGAAAGUCACAGGCUCAACCUGUGAAUGCCGCUGGAAACUGUCUGGCUAGAGUCCGGAAGGGGCGAGUGGAAUUCCCGGUGUAGCGGUGAAAUGCGCAGAUAUCGGGAAGAACACCCGUGGCGAAGGCGGUUCUCUGGGACGGUACUGACGCUGAGACGCGAAAGCGUGGGGAGCGAACAGG
rnacentral:rRNA from 1 species